ensembl:misc_RNA
UUUUCUUUUGGAGACAGAAGUCCUCUAUUUAUCCACAGAAUUGGUACAGACAUGAGAUGCAGCAGCACAACUUAUCCCACACUUCCUUGCCAAGAUACCUCAAGUCAGCUAUGAUCUGCAGAGACCAUCUGGAGAUGAGAGCUCAGUAUUCAAGACCAUUUGAUUAAUCCUUGGCCUGU